AUUGAACGCUGGCGGCAGGCCUAACACAUGCAAGUCGAACGAGUGGCGGACGGGUGAGUAAUGUCUGGGAAACUGCCUGAUGGAGGGGGAUAACUACUGGAAACGGUAGCUAAUACCGCAUAACAUCAGAUUGGCCCAGAUGGGAUUCGCUAGUGGGUGGGGUAACGGCUCACCAAGGCUACGAUCCCUAGCUGGUCUGAGAGGAUGACCAGCCACACUGGAACUGAGACACGGUCCCGACUCCUACGUGAGGCAGCAGUGGGGAAUAUUGCACAAUGGGCGCAAGCCUGAUGCAGCCAUGCCGCGUGUAUGAAGAAGGCCUUCGGGUUGUAAAGUACUUGCAGCGGGGAGGCGUUACCCGCAGAAGAAGCACCGGCUAACUCCGUGCCAGCAGCCGCGGUAAUAC
rnacentral:rRNA from 1 species